rnacentral:rRNA from 1 species
GUGGUACGCGAGCUGGGUUUAGAACGUCGUGAGACAGUUCGGUCCCUAUCUGCCGUGGGCGCUGGAGAACUGAGGGGGGCUGCUCCUAGUACGAGAGGACCGGAGUGGACGCAUCACUGGUGUUCGGGUUGUCAUGCCAAUGGCACUGCCCGGUAGCUAAAUGCGGAAGAGAUAAGUGCUGAAAGCAUCUAAGCACGAAACUUGCCCCGAGAUGAGUUCUCCCUGACCCUUUAAGGGGCCUGAAGGAACGUUGAAGACGACGACGUUGAUAGGCCGGGUGUGUAAGCGCAGCGAUGCGUUGAGCUAACCGGUACUAAUGAACCGUGAGGCUUAACCUUACAACGCCGAAG